rnacentral:tRNA from 1 species
UGGGUGUUCGCCAAGUUGGUAAGGCAGUGGACUCUGAAUCCAUAAUGCACUGGUUCGAACCCAGUACACCCAA